rnacentral:rRNA from 1 species
CCUUGUUUAACAAAAACAUGUCUUUUUGAUAAUAAUUUAAAGUCUAAUCUGCCCACUGAUUAAUUAAAUGGCCGCAGUAUUUUGACUGUGCUAAGGUAGCAUAAUAAAUAGUUUUUUAAUUGAAAGCUGGUAUGAAUGAUUGAAUGAGAUAAAGACUGUCUCUAAGUUAAUUUUAUAGAAUUUUAUUUUUAAGUUAAAAAGCUUAAAUUUUUUUAAAAGACGAGAAGACCCUAUAGAGUUUUAUUAAUAUUUUGUAAAUUAAUUUUGUUUUAAUAAUAAUUGACAUAAAAAUUAAUUUUGUUGGGGUGACCGAAAAAUUUAAUUAACUUUUUUUUAUAAUUACACUGAUUAGUGAUUUGAUGAUCCAAUAUUAUUGAUUAUAAGAUUAAAUUACCUUAGGGAUAACAGCGUAAUUUUUUUUGAGAGUUCUAAUCGAAAAAAAAGGUUGCGACCUCGAUGUUGGAUUAAAGUUUAAUUUUGGUGUAGAAGCUAAAAAUUUAAGUCUGUUCGACUUUUAAAACUUUACAUGAUCUGAGUU